rnacentral:rRNA from 1 species
GACGAACGCUGGCGGCGUGCUUAACACAUGCAAGUCGAACGAUGAAGCCGGAGCUUGCUCUGGUGAAUUAGUGGCGAACGGAUGAGUAACACGUGAGUAACCUGCCCUUGACUCUGGGAUAACUGCGGGAAACUGUAGCUAAUACCGGAUACGACCCUCGGAGGCAUCUCCUGGGGGUGGAAAGAAUUUCGGUCAAGGAUGGACUCGCGGCCUAUCAGCUAGUUGGUGAGGUAAAGGCUCACCAAGGCGACGACGGGUAGCCGGCCUGAGAGGGUGACCGGCCACACUGGGACUGUGACACGGCCCAGACUCCUACGGGAGGCAGCAGUGGGGAAUAUUGCACAAUGGGCGCAAGCCUGAUGCAGCAACGCCGCGUGAGGGAUGACGGCCUUCGGGUUGUAAACCUCUUUAGCAGGGAAGAAGCGAAAGUGACGGUACCUGCAGAAAAAGCACCGGCUAACUACGUGCCAGCCGCCGCGGUAA